GAUCCUGGCUCAGGAUGAACGCUGGCGGCGUGCUUAAUACAUGCAAGUCGAACGAAGUUAUCUCGCUGAGGCGAGCUUGCUCAAUUCUUGAGAUAACUUAGUGGCGGACGGGUGAGUAACGCGUGGGUAACCUGCCUUACACAGGGGGAUAACAGUUAGAAAUGACUGCUAAUACCGCAUAAGCGCACAGUAUCGCAUGAUACAGUGUGAAAAACUCCGGUGGUGUAAGAUGGACCCGCGUCUGAUUAGCUAGUUGGUGAGGUAACGGCCCACCAAGGCGACGAUCAGUAGCCGGCCUGAGAGGGUGAACGGCCACAUUGGGACUGAGACACGGCCCAAACUCCUACGGGAGGCAGCAGUAGGGAAUAUUGGACAAUGGGGGAAACCCUGAUCCAGCGACGCCGCGUGAGUGAAGAAGUAUUUCGGUACGUAAAGCUCUAUCAGCAGGGAAGAAAAUGACGGUACCUGACUAAGAAGCACCGGCUAAAUACGUGCC
rnacentral:rRNA from 1 species